GACGAACGCUGGCGGCGCGCCUAACACAUGCAAGUCGAACGAGCGAGAGAGAGCUUGCUUUCUCGAGCGAGUGGCGAACGGGUGAGUAACGCGUGAGGAACCUGCCUCAAAGAGGGGGACAGCAGUUGGAAACGACUGCUAAUACCGCAUAAGCCCACGGCUCGGCAUCGAGCAGGGGGAAAAGGAGCAAUCCGCUUUGAGAUGGCCUCGCGUCCGAUUAGCUAGUUGGUGGGGUAACGGCCCACCAAGGCGACGAUCGGUAGCCGGACUGAGAGGUUGAACGGCCACAUUGGGACUGAGACACGGCCCAGACUCCUACGGGAGGCAGCAGUGGGGAAUAUUGCACAAUGGGGGAAACCCUGAUGCAGCGACGCCGCGUGGAGGAAGAAGGUCUUCGGAUUGUAAACUCCUGUUGUUGGGGAAGAUAAUGACGGUACCCAACAAGGAAGUGACGGCUAACUACGUG
rnacentral:rRNA from 1 species